UACGGGGGGGGCAAGCGUUGUUCGGAAUGACUGGGCGUAAAGCGCACGUAGGCGGGUUCGUAAGUCAGAUGUGAAAUCCCCAGGCUCAACCUGGGAACUGCAUUUGAAACUGCGAAUCUUGAAUGCUUGAGAGGUUGGUGGAAUUCCUGGUGUAGGAGUGAAAUCCGUAGAUAUCAGGAGGAAUAUCGGAGGCGAAGGCGGCCAACUGGCGAUGCAUUGACGCUGAGGUGCGAAAGCGUGGGGAGCAAACAGG
rnacentral:rRNA from 1 species